rnacentral:lncRNA from 1 species
AUGCCCCAGUUUCCUGCUUUCAGCAUGGCUUGUUUCCUUGCAAUUUUGGGCAUAUCUUUGCAUAAAUCCAAUACUCUGGAAGAUGUGUUGCCUGUGGUUGAUGGUUUUUUUUUUCCUUGGUUGUGUGUGAAAAGUGAGAUAAAGGCAGUAGCAGCAAUGGUAGAGAGAAGAUUGGGAGGUGGCUCCGGCAGGAGAAUAUACGGAAGUGGCAAUUCUCUUCUGCCUCAAACCACAAAAGGUGGACCAGCAUUGCAUGGACAAACCAUAGAUCCACUUGCACCCUGCAGUUUGGAAAUCUUCCAAAUUUGGCUCAGACCAUCUUGCAGGCCACAAUGUUCUGACUCUACAUUUUAACUCAGAAAUACAGAACUAAAUUAAAGUGCACCUCCCAUUCACUGUCUUUGAAAUUCAAGAAAUAUUUUGUUCCUCUUGAGUUUUUCUAAUUUUCAUGAUUGCCUUGAGUUUUCAUUGAGGUUUCCCUGGUAACUGUCAGUGCAAUUUUACACAAAUGGGAUGAGAGGUUUGUACUACAUACUUUUAAUUUAUUUUCAACCACUCCUAAAAGGGUGGGUUUUCUAAAAAAAAAAUGAUAUUGCAGAAUGCAAUGAAAUUUGUAAGAAUAUUUGACCCUUUUGAGCCCCUGGCAAUUAUCAGAGAAAGAGUUACAGGGAAUUUUAUGCAAGACUAGUCUUUAUAGUUUGAGAAUUUCUGAAAAUAAUGCACCUAGUCCCAUAGACUUUUUCAGGACACUUAUUAUGAAAAUGUCGUAGGGAAUAUAGGUGGCAUAAGUUGCAAAACUUAAAAGAAUUCAGAAGGGUGCUUACAACAUUUUAUGGAAGGUGGAACAUUAUUUAAUGGAUGAGGUAGUACUUUGAAAAUGAGAAAUGUAAUGGAAAUCAUUUAUGAGCUUCCUUGAGCAAGAAACCCACACAAUUUCAGAAGCAUAGGUGCAGGGGCUAGAUAGGCAUGGUGAAAAAGUAACUGAAUUUAAAAAAUAAGCCUUCUUCCCCUUUUCAUCCUUUUCCUGCUCAGUUGGAAAUGAAAUCACCAAUAGUUCAAGGCAAGGAGAUGGACACAUUGCAAAUCAGAAGGAUGCAAACAUCUUGCAUCUCAAAGAGGAAACUCACCAUUGAAUCCUGAAAAAGUCCUACAAGAUUUACUACAGCAUUUCUCCUCCACUGGGAUUGGAGAGCCCUGAAGAAACGAUUCAUUAACACCAGAAGCUACAGAUGCACAUCAGAAAACCACACAUCUUCCAUUUCUCCCUCACCAGUGUUUUUUUAAUAAAAUAUUUGGAAGAAAUGUAUCA